CGUUGAAGACGGCACAACUAAUCUUGUGCCUCUCAACAUCGUCGGUUGUGCUAAAGGACUCGUUCAACAUUUGUAACAUAUCUUGUGGCUGAUCAUUCUCGAAACGAUGGCUAAACUCAUCAUUCAUUGCCGCUAGCAUAAUACAACAAAUCGUAGUUCGAUCAUUGAGCCACUUCUGAUAAAUGUCUUUGAUCGUGCUACAUACAUUCGGAGCUAGCUCUUCGGAUGCCG
rnacentral:lncRNA from 1 species